GUGUGAUGUCAAUAAUAUCAACGUCUGAAUAACUGAAGUGACGUCAGAACCCCGCGGGGGCGCAGCUCCUUCUCUCUCUCUCUCUCUCUCUCUCUCUCUCACACACACACACACACACACACACACACAGCGCACUCACUCGAGGGACAUAUACUGGGUUUAGCGUUUUCUUCAAUGAACGCACUGCACAUUUAUGCCAUGUUAAAUUAUACAUGGCAUAAUGUGUUUUAAAGAGUUCGAUACACCUGGAGGUUUGUGGAAUGGCUUUGGGAAGUUUCUGAUUGGCCACUAAAAAGAGCAAAAUGCACUCAGUUCAGAGAGAUGACGUAAAUAUCAGCUGGGAUUCUGUCUCCACUUUUGACCUCCACAAGAUCACCUACAACUACUUCCUCAGCAUCAAUGAUCUUUUUCUCUGCAUCACGCACAACCAGGGCUUUCUACAUGACAAUAACUGUACAUAAACAUCAGUAUCCUUUGUAAAAGCUGUUAAAUUUUUUGACCUGAGGAACACCUUAAAAGUAUCCAUGAUCCUGGAGCAUUUGGCCUCUUGAUAGUAUGAGAAACAUCCAUUGACUGUGACAACGAAAGCAAGCCUCCAUCAGUGUCACACAGAUCAGUCUGUAAUCGAAUACAGGUGGAACGAUUUCUGUCUUGAGUUUGCAUUGAUUUCUAAAGCCCCUGUCGUGUGUUUAUAUGUAGACCUAAAUCCCACGCCUAAAUAAUCAAUGAAAAAUGUACUUUGCAUUUCUUUGUGCAAUUUUUCAAACAUUUCUAAUAAGUUUUGAAAAGUAUCAAAUAGGCCCACUACACCAUAUUUCUUUUCAGUGUAUAAACCUAUUCACAUUGCUGAAAGCCAAUAUGCUUUUAGAAUAUAUAAUAGGUAAAAAUUGAUAUCCUGAAUGCACUGUAAGUCACUUUGGAUAAAAGCGUCUGCUAAAUGCAUAAAUUUAAUAACAGUGGUGUGUAUGUUGUUUUGAGCUUAUAAAUAAACAAACCAUUUACAUG